rnacentral:rRNA from 1 species
UUGGUCAAUGGCCGAGAGGCUGAACCAGCCAAGUCGCGUGAAGGAUGAAGGAUCUAUGGUUUGUAAACUUCUUUUAUAGGGGAAUAAAGUGUGGAACGUGUUCCAUUUUGUAUGUACCCUAUGAAUAAGCAUCGGCUAACUCCGUGCCAGCAGCCGCGGUAAUACGGAGGAUGCGAGCGUUAUCCGGAUUUAUUGGGUUUAAAGGGUGCGUAGGUGGUAAUUUAAGUCAGCGGUGAAAGUUUGUGGCUCAACCAUAAAAUUGCCGUUGAAACUGGGUUACUUGAGUGUGUUUGAGGUAGGCGGAAUGCGUGGUGUAGCGGUGAAAUGCAUAGAUAUCACGCAGAACUCCAAUUGCGAAGGCAGCUUACUAAACCAUAACUGACACUGAAGCACGAAAGCGUGGGUAUCAAACAGGAUUAGAUACCCUGGUAGUCCACGCAGUAAACGAUGAUUACUAGGAGUUUGCGAUACACAGUAAGCUCUACAGCGAAAGCGUUAAGUAAUCCACCUGGGGAGUACGCCGGCAACGGUGAAACUCAAAGGAAUUGACGGGGGCCCGCACAAGCGGAGGAACAUGUGGUUUAAUUCGAUGAUACGCGAGGAACCUUACCCGGGUUUGAACGUAGUCAGACCGGCCUUGAAAGAGGUCUUCUAGCAAUAGCUGAUUACGAGGUGCUGCAUGGUUGUCGUCAGCUCGUGCCGUGAGGUGUCGGCUUAAGUGCCAUAACGAGCGCAACCCUUAUCACUAGUUACUAACAGGUUAAGCUGAGGACUCUGGUGAGACUGCCAGCGUAAGCUGUGAGGAAGGUGGGGAUGACGUCAAAUCAGCACGGCCCUUACAUCCGGGGCGACACACGUGUUACAAUGGCAUGGACAAAGGGCAGCUACCUGGCGACAGGAUGCUAAUCUCUAAACCAUGUCUCAGUUCGGAUCGGAGUCUGCAACUCGACUCCGUGAAGCUGGAUUCGCUAGUAAUCGCGCAUCAGCCAUGGCGCGGUGAAUACGUUCCCGGGCCUUGUACACACCGCCCGUCAAGCCAUGGGAGCCGGGGGUACCUGAAGUCCGUAACCGCAAGGAUCGGCCUAGGGUAAAACUGGUGACUGGGGCUAAGUCGUAACAAGGUAGCCGUACCGGAAGGUGCGGCUG